rnacentral:rRNA from 1 species
UGAACGCUGGCGGCAGGCCUAACACAUGCAAGUCGAACGGUAACAGGAAGCAGCUUGCUGCUUCGCUGACGAGUGGCGGACGGGUGAGUAAUGUCUGGGAAGCUGCCUGAUGGAGGGGGAUAACUACUGGAAACGGUAGCUAAUACCGCAUAAUGUCGCAAGACCAAAGAGGGGGACCUUCGGGCCUCUUGCCAUCGGAUGUGCCCAGAUGGGAUUAGCUUGUUGGUGGGGUAACGGCUCACCAAGGCGACGAUCCCUAGCUGGUCUGAGAGGAUGACCAGCCACACUGGAACUGAGACACGGUCCAGACUCCUACGGGAGGCAGCAGUGGGGAAUAUUGCACAAUGGGCGCAAGCCUGAUGCAGCCAUGCCGCGUGUAUGAAGAAGGCCUUCGGGUUGUAAAGUACUUUCAGCGGGGAGGAAGGGAGUAAAGUUAAUACCUUUGCUCAUUGACGUUACCCGCAGAAGAAGCACCGGCUAACUCCGUGCCAGCAGCCGCGGUAAUACGGAGGGUGCAAGCGUUAAUCGGAAUUACUGGGCGUAAAGCGCACGCAGGCGGUUUGUUAAGUCAGAUGUGAAAUCCCCGGGCUCAACCUGGGAACUGCAUCUGAUACUGGCAAGCUUGAGUCUCGUAGAGGGGGGUAGAAUUCCAGGUGUAGCGGUGAAAUGCGUAGAGAUCUGGAGGAAUACCGGUGGCGAAGGCGGCCCCCUGGACGAAGACUGACGCUCAGGUGCGAA